rnacentral:rRNA from 1 species
CACGUAGGGUGCGAGCGUUGUCCGGAAUUAUUGGGCGUAAAGAGCUCGUAGGCGGUGUGUCGCGUCGGCCGUGAAAACCUGCAGCUUAACUGUGGGCUUGCGGUCGAUACGGGCAUCACUGGAGUUCGGCAGGGGAGACUGGAAUUCCUGGUGUAGCGGUGAAAUGCGUAGAGAUCACUCGGAAGGCCAGAGCCGAAGGGGCCCAACUGGUACGCAACUGACGCUGAGGCACGAAAGCGUGGGGAGCAAACAGG